GAUGAACGCUGGCGGCGUGCUUAACACAUGCAAGUCGAACGGUGAACACGGAGCUUGCUCUGUGGGAUCAGUGGCGAACGGGUGAGUAACACGUGAGCAACCUGCCCCUGACUCUGGGAUAAGCGCUGGAAACGGCGUCUAAUACUGGAUAUGUGACGUGACCGCAUGGUCUGCGUCUGGAAAGAAUUUCGGUUGGGGAUGGGCUCGCGGCCUAUCAGCUUGUUGGUGAGGUAAUGGCUCACCAAGGCGUCGACGGGUAGCCGGCCUGAGAGGGUGACCGGCCACACUGGGACUGAGACACGGCCCAGACUCCUACGGGAGGCAGCAGUGGGGAAUAUUGCACAAUGGGCGCAAGCCUGAUGCAGCAACGCCGCGUGAGGGACGACGGCCUUCGGGUUGUAAACCUCUUUUAGCAGGGAAGAAGCGAAAGUGACGGUACCUGCAGAAAAAGCGCCGGCUAACUACGUGCCAGCAGCCGCGGUAAUACGUAGGGCGCAAGCGUUAUCCGGAAUUAUUGGGCGUAAAGAGCUCGUAGGCGGUUUGUCGCGUCUGCUGUGAAAUCCGGAGGCUCAACCUCCGGCCUGCAGUGGGUACGGGCAGACUAGAGUGCGGUAGGGGAGAUUGGAAUUCCUGGUGUAGCGGUGGAAUGCGCAGAUAUCAGGAGGAACACCGAUGGCGAAGGCAGAUCUCUGGGCCGUAACUGACGCUGAGGAGCGAAAGGGUGGGGAGCAAACAGGCUUAGAUACCCUGGUAGUCCACCCCGUAAACGUUGGGAACUAGUUGUGGGGUCCAUUCCACGGAUUCCGUGACGCAGCUAACGCAUUAAGUUCCCCGCCUGGGGAGUACGGCCGCAAGGCUAAAACUCAAAGGAAUUGACGGGGACCCGCACAAGCGGCGGAGCAUGCGGAUUAAUUCGAUGCA
rnacentral:rRNA from 1 species